GAUGAACGCUUGCUGUGUGGAUAAGGCAUGCAAGUCGAACGCAUUUAGUUGCGUGGCGAACGAGGUAGUAACACGUAGGACAACGCGCCCCAAAGUCAGGGAUAACCUGGAGAAAUCCAGAAUAAUACCUGAUAGACCCUUCUCUGAUUGAGGUAGGGUAAAGAUUUAUCGCUUUGGGAGCGGCCUGCGGGGUAUCAGCUAGUUGGUAGUGUAAUGGACUACCAAGGCUACGACGCCUAGGGGAGGUGAGAGCCUGGCCCCCACCGAUGGGACUGAGACACGGCCCAU
rnacentral:rRNA from 1 species